UACGGGGGGGGCAAGCGUUGUUCGGAAUUACUGGGCGUAAAGGGCUCGUAGGCGGCCAACUAAGUCAGACGUGAAAUCCCUCGGCUUAACCGGGGAACUGCGUCUGAUACUGGAUGGCUUGAAUCCGGGAGAGGGAUGCGGAAUUCCAGGUGUAGCGGUGAAAUGCGUAGAUAUCUGGAGGAACACCGGUGGCGAAGGCGGCAUCCUGGACCAACACUGACGUUGAGUGAGCGAAAGCCAGGGGAGCAAACGGG
rnacentral:rRNA from 1 species